CCUACGGGUGGCAGCAGUGGGGAAUCUUGGACAAUGGGGGGAACCCUGAUCCAGCGACGCCGCGUGAGUGAAGAAGUAUUUCGGUAUGUAAAGCUCUAUCAGCAGGGAAGAAAGAAAUGACGGUACCUUACUAAGAAUCCCCGGCUAACUAUGUGCCAGCAGCCGCGGUAAUACGUAGGGGGCAAGCGUUAUCCGGAUUUACUGGGUGUAAUGGGAGCGUAGACGGUGAUGCAAGUCUGAAGUGAAAGGCGUGGGCCCAACCCGCGGAGUGCUUUGGAAACUGUAAGGCGGGAGUGCAGGAGAGGUGAGUGGAAUGCCUAGUGUAGCGGUGAAAUGCGUAGAUAUUAGGAGGAACACCAGUGGCGAAGGCGGCUUACUGGACUGUAACUGACGUUGAGGCUCGAAAGCGUGGGGAGCAAACAGGAUUAGAUACCCUUGUAGUC
rnacentral:rRNA from 1 species